rnacentral:rRNA from 1 species
UAAGCGACUAAGCGUACACGGUGGAUGCCCUGGCAGUCAGAGGCGAUGAAGGACGUGCUAAUCUGCGAUAAGCGUCGGUAAGGUGAUAUGAACCGUUAUAACCGGCGAUUUCCGAAUGGGGAAACCCAGUGUGAUUCGUCACACUAUCAUUAACUGAAUCCAUAGGUUAAUGAGGCGAACCGGGGGAACUGAAACAUCUAAGUACCCCGAGGAAAAGAAAUCAACCGAGAUUCCCCCAGUAGCGGCGAGCGAACGGGGAGGAGCCCAGAGCCUGAAUCAGUGUGUGUGUUAGUGGAAGCGUCUGGAAAGGCGCGCGAUACAGGGUGACAGCCCCGUACACAAAAAUGCACAUGCUGUGAGCUCGAUGAGUAGGGCGGGACACGUGGUAUCCUGUCUGAAUAUGGGGGGACCAUCCUCCAAGGCUAAAUACUCCUGACUGACCGAUAGUGAACCAGUACCGUGAGGGAAAGGCGAAAAGAACCCCGGCGAGGGGAGUGAAAAAGAACCUGAAACCGUGUACGUACAAGCAGUGGGAGCACAGAGCAAUCUGUGUGACUGCGUACCUUUUGUAUAAUGGGUCAGCGACUUAUAUUCUGUAGCAAGGUUAACCGAAUAGGGGAGCCGAAGGGAAACCGAGUCUUAACUGGGCGUUAAGUUGCAGGGUAUAGACCCGAAACCCGGUGAUCUAGCCAUGGGCAGGUUGAAGGUUGGGUAACACUAACUGGAGGACCGAACCGACUAAUGUUGAAAAAUUAGCGGAUGACUUGUGGCUGGGGGUGAAAGGCCAAUCAAACCGGGAGAUAGCUGGUUCUCCCCGAAAGCUAUUUAGGUAGCGCCUCGUGAAUUCAUCUCCGGGGGUAGAGCACUGUUUCGGCAAGGGGGUCAUCCCGACUUACCAACCCGAUGCAAACUGCGAAUACCGGAGAAUGUUAUCACGGGAGACACACGGCGGGUGCUAACGUCCGUCGUGAAGAGGGAAACAACCCAGACCGCCAGCUAAGGUCCCAAAGUCAUGGUUAAGUGGGAAACGAUGUGGGAAGGCCCAGACAGCCAGGAUGUUGGCUUAGAAGCAGCCAUCAUUUAAAGAAAGCGUAAUAGCUCACUGGUCGAGUCGGCCUGCGCGGAAGAUGUAACGGGGCUAAACCAUGCACCGAAGCUGCGGCAGCGACACUGUGUGUUGUUGGGUAGGGGAGCGUUCUGUAAGCCUGUGAAGGUGUGCUGUGAGGCAUGCUGGAGGUAUCAGAAGUGCGAAUGCUGACAUAAGUAACGAUAAAGCGGGUGAAAAGCCCGCUCGCCGGAAGACCAAGGGUUCCUGUCCAACGUUAAUCGGGGCAGGGUGAGUCGACCCCUAAGGCGAGGCCGAAAGGCGUAGUCGAUGGGAAACAGGUUAAUAUUCCUGUACUUGGUGUUACUGCGAAGGGGGGACGGAGAAGGCUAUGUUGGCCGGGCGACGGUUGUCCCGGUUUAAGCGUGUAGGCUGGUUUUCCAGGCAAAUCCGGAAAAUCAAGGCUGAGGCGUGAUGACGAGGCACUACGGUGCUGAAGCAACAAAUGCCCUGCUUCCAGGAAAAGCCUCUAAGCAUCAGGUAACAUCAAAUCGUACCCCAAACCGACACAGGUGGUCAGGUAGAGAAUACCAAGGCGCUUGAGAGAACUCGGGUGAAGGAACUAGGCAAAAUGGUGCCGUAACUUCGGGAGAAGGCACGCUGAUAUGUAGGUGAAGUCCCUCGCGGAUGGAGCUGAAAUCAGUCGAAGAUACCAGCUGGCUGCAACUGUUUAUUAAAAACACAGCACUGUGCAAACACGAAAGUGGACGUAUACGGUGUGACGCCUGCCCGGUGCCGGAAGGUUAAUUGAUGGGGUCAGCGCAAGCGAAGCUCUUGAUCGAAGCCCCGGUAAACGGCGGCCGUAACUAUAACGGUCCUAAGGUAGCGAAAUUCCUUGUCGGGUAAGUUCCGACCUGCACGAAUGGCGUAAUGAUGGCCAGGCUGUCUCCACCCGAGACUCAGUGAAAUUGAACUCGCUGUGAAGAUGCAGUGUACCCGCGGCAAGACGGAAAGACCCCGUGAACCUUUACUAUAGCUUGACACUGAACAUUGAGCCUUGAUGUGUAGGAUAGGUGGGAGGCUUUGAAGUGUGGACGCCAGUCUGCAUGGAGCCGACCUUGAAAUACCACCCUUUAAUGUUUGAUGUUCUAACGUGGACCCGUGAUCCGGGUUGCGGACAGUGUCUGGUGGGUAGUUUGACUGGGGCGGUCUCCUCCUAAAGAGUAACGGAGGAGCACGAAGGUUGGCUAAUCCUGGUCGGACAUCAGGAGGUUAGUGCAAUGGCAUAAGCCAGCUUGACUGCGAGCGUGACGGCGCGAGCAGGUGCGAAAGCAGGUCAUAGUGAUCCGGUGGUUCUGAAUGGAAGGGCCAUCGCUCAACGGAUAAAAGGUACUCCGGGGAUAACAGGCUGAUACCGCCCAAGAGUUCAUAUCGACGGCGGUGUUUGGCACCUCGAUGUCGGCUCAUCACAUCCUGGGGCUGAAGUAGGUCCCAAGGGUAUGGCUGUUCGCCAUUUAAAGUGGUACGCGAGCUGGGUUUAGAACGUCGUGAGACAGUUCGGUCCCUAUCUGCCGUGGGCGCUGGAGAACUGAGGGGGGCUGCUCCUAGUACGAGAGGACCGGAGUGGACGCAUCACUGGUGUUCGGGUUGUCAUGCCAAUGGCACUGCCCGGUAGCUAAAUGCGGAAGAGAUAAGUGCUGAAAGCAUCUAAGCACGAAACUUGCCCCGAGAUGAGUUCUCCCUGACCCUUUAAGGGUCCUGAAGGAACGUUGAAGACGACGACGUUGAUAGGCCGGGUGUGUAAGCGCAGCGAUGCGUUGAGCUAACCGGUACUAAUGAACCGUGAGGCUUAACCU